rnacentral:tRNA from 1 species
UGGGAUGUAGCUCAGUGGUACAGCAUGUGCUUAGCACGCGCUCAAGGCCCUGGGUUCAAUCCCAGUACCAAAA